rnacentral:misc_RNA from 1 species
AAAUCUCAACCUUCUCGGUUUCUUCUGGACACCGAAGGAGGCUUGGACUUUGGAGGCCUUUGCUGGCGUCUCUCUCUUUUGAAGGCCAGCUCCUCUUAAAUGAAUUAGCAGGGUCCUCUUUGCCGAUCCUUGACGUGUGAUAAGAUGUUUCCAUGUCUUGGCUUCUGGCUCUGUGGCUUUUGGGACCCGCUUCUAACCGUCUCUGCCUUGCAUCGAGACAACGUUUGAGCACGUCUCCCUUCUUGGGAAACGCUCUCAACCCCACGAAC